GUAAUAUCAUCAGUUUCUCAUUUCAAGCUUCUUUCCUCAUCGCCUGCGCUUUAGUUUUCAGAUUCUCAUAUACUGCACAGUGUUAAUCUGAGGAUUGCUAGCUUCUACCACCAGCAUUAGUAACGCAUCCUUUUGUUCCUUCAUGACAUGUCGCUCGAUUUAAGAUCCUGUUUCACUGAAUUUACUUGGCAUGCAAGACUCUCGAAAUCCACAAACCCUUCUGUGUUUCAGUGAUCUUGUCUACAAUUAGUAAUCAUAAGCAUCUCAUGCUGGGCCAAGAAUAAAACGUAAGGGUCAAGAAUCAGAUCAAGUCGAAGCAUAUAAAGGGAUUGAAGGAAGUGAAAGUUAUUAACCUUCUUGGAGCGGACACGACCGAUGCCUUUCUCAAGCCUACCUUCCAGGUUCUUGAGCUCCUUGAGGUUCAAGGAACCAAGAGAUUCACCAAGAAUGUGUCUGUUCAGAUUCUGAAUGUCCCGGAUCUGUCUCCGUAGCUUAGACGAUUCUUGCUGAUAGUACUUCAUCAAGUGUUCGACCCCACAAGGGAUUCAGUAAAGUCAGAAACUGAAACAAGAAGAAACGUAGUGGUAAAGUAACUAACUAUGGAAGCUUACCUGAGUAUUAGCUUCGGUGACGGAAGGAGGAUUAACAGCGUCGGAGCAAGCUUUCUUGUACCUUUCAAUCGUUCCUCUUACACUUUUCAU